rnacentral:rRNA from 2 species
UUUGAUCAUGGCUCAGAUUGAACGCUGGCGGCAGGCCUAACACAUGCAAGUCGAGCGGCAGCGACAACAAAGAUUCUUCGGAGAAUUUGUUGGGCGGCGAGCGGCGGACGGGUGAGUAAUGGCUGGGAACCUGCCCUGACGUGGGGGAUAACAGUUGGAAACGACUGCUAAUACCGCAUGAUGUCUUCGGACCAAAGAGGAGGACCUUCGGGCUUCUCGCGUCGGGAUGGGCCCAGUUGGGAUUAGCUAGUUGGUGAGGUAAUGGCUCACCAAGGCGACGAUCCCUAGCUGGUUUGAGAGGAUGAUCAG